rnacentral:rRNA from 1 species
GUGGGGAAUUUUGGACAAUGGGGGCAACCCUGAUCCAGCAAUGCCGCGUGCAGGAAGAAGGCCUUCGGGUUGUAAAGCUCUUUCAGCCGGAAAGAAACGGUGCGCUCUAACAUAGCGUGCUAAUGACGGUACCGGCAGAAGAAGCACCGGCUAACUACGUGCCAGCAGCCGCGGUAAUACGUAGGGUGCGAGCGUUAAUCGGAAUUACUGGGCGUAAAGCGUGCGCAGGCGGAUUGUUAAGCAAGAUGUGAAAUCCCCGGGCUUAACCUGGGAAUGGCAUUUUGAACUGGCAGUCUAGAGUGUGUCAGAGGAGGGUGGAAUUCCACGUGUAGCAGUGAAAUGCGUAGAUAUGUGGAGGAACACCAAUGGCGAAGGCAGCCCCCUGGGAUAACACUGACGCUCAUGUACGAAAGCGUGGGUAGCAAACAGGAUUAGAUACCCUUGUAGUCC